UGCUCUGAUAAAAUCACUUAAUAGGAAGUGCCGUCGGAAUCGAUAAAUUGCUUUUAACAGUGC
rnacentral:snoRNA from 1 species